rnacentral:tRNA from 1 species
GUUUUAAUAAUUUAAUUAAAAAUAUUGGUCUUGUAAAUCAAAUAUAAGGAAUAUUCUUUUAAAACU